rnacentral:rRNA from 1 species
UACAGAGGGUGCAAGCGUUGUUCGGAAUUAUUGGGCGUAAAGCGCGUGUAGGCGGCUUUGCAAGUCGGGUGUGAAAGCCCUCAGCUCAACUGAGGAAGUGCGCCCGAAACUGCAGAGCUUGAGUACUGGAGAGGAUGGCGGAAUUCCCCAAGUAGAGGUGAAAUUCGUAGAUAUGGGGAGGAACACCGGUGGCGAAGGCGGCCAUCUGGACGGAUACUGACGCUGAGACGCGAAAGCGUGGGGAGCAAACAGG